rnacentral:rRNA from 1 species
UGCGUAGGCGGGUUCCCAAGUCCGGGGUGAAAUCUUUCGGCUUAACCCGGAAAAUAGCCUCGGAUACUGGGAGUCUUGAGGGAGGUAGGGGCAGCUGGAACUUCCGGUGGAGCGGUGAAAUGCGUUGAUAUCGGAAGGAACGCCGGUGGCGAAAGCGAGCUGCUGGACCUCUUCUGACGCUGAGGCACGAAAGCCAGGGGAGCAAACG